rnacentral:sRNA from 1 species
UAUUUGCUUUCCAAAGUCGAAGAAAAAGUUGGCUCCCCAGAACGUCCACUCUCAGAUCUGGGGCUUAUAAGCUAUCGCAGUUACUGGAAAGAAGUACUUCUCCGCUACCUGCAUAAUUUCCAAGGCAAAGAGAUUUCUAUCAAAGAAAUCAGUCAGGAGACGGCUGUGAAUCCUGUGGACAUUGUCAGCACUCUGCAAGCCCUUCAGAUGCUCAAGUACUGGAAGGGAAAACACCUAGUUUUAAAGAGACAGGUAAGGUUCUCAUCAGGGGCUUGCUCAUUGCUGGAUGUCCUUCAAGACUUAGCAGAGCAAAGUACGGGCCUUAAGACUCGAGAACCUUCCCUUAAAGGAGUUGGGCUACACGCCACUUUUACUGGGUCUCAUUUCUGUAGCUGGCAGUGAUGCCUGUGUUGCCUUAUCCUUAUCAGAAGGUUUUGAUAAGCUCCUGUCUCAAAUUUGGAUGACACAAGUUAAGCAGCUCCAGUUAAGCAGCUUUAUGUUGUACAGCAUUUCUGUCAUUUGAUGUUUUUCUUAGGUGGGAGGAAAUUGCCCAUCUGUAGAGGAAUCUUCACAAAUGCUGUCU